rnacentral:tRNA from 1 species
AGAAAGCUAGUCUAACCAAGACAGUUGAUUUCGACCCAACAGAUUAUAGUCACCACCCUAUAGCUUUCUC